rnacentral:lncRNA from 10 species
CACAGGCGUGUCGUGACUGAUGCAGCGGGGCAAGGAAGACCUGGUCUCCUUUCCAUACCUGUGGAUUUUUCCAUGAGGAUGCCAAGCUCAGCUUCGAUCUCUCGGUGCAUGGAGUCAUUGGUAACGGCCAGAACCCACAGCAGCAGGACCUGAGGAGGUUCAAACAGACCAGGAGACCCUACGGAAACCUCUCGUGCUGCACAUAAACAUGGGGAAUUAGUUUGACUGGCGUGAGGAUCAUGUCCUCCCUCUCAACCCCACUUCCUGACUUGUGCCUGAUCCUAAAGUCAGCGUCUGCCUAGUGCCUGAGACAGGGUCACGUUAUGUUGCCUAAGCUGGUCUUGAACUCCUCGCCUCGAGUGAUCCUCCUGUCUCAGGUUCCCAAAGUGCUGGGAUUACAGGUGUAAGCCACCAUGCCUGGCCCUGAUUUUUCUUGACCUCAACCACUACCUAGUCUGGGCCCCCUUCCUUGCUCUCUUGGACUGGUCUUCUUGCCCAGAGUGCCUCUCCCCUACUUAAAGUCCUGCAAAGGCAACUAAUUGCCCUCAGUAUAAAGUCCAAAUUACUGACACAGCCUGCAUGGCCUCUCAAAAUGAGAGGUGUAUGAUUAGUAUGGGCCUGGACAAGGUUCCAGGUUCUCUGCCCAAGGCAGAGUAGCUGCUGCUGCUUCCUGGUCUGGCUUCAACUUACCCCUCUAGCAUUGUCUUUGACCCUACUCCCCUCUCCUUGGGCUAUACCAUCUUGCUGCACUUCCUGGAACGCCCCCAGUCUUUGCCCACACCCUAUUCUUUGCCUUUAAUGCCUACCCCUUUUGCCCCUUGGGUAACUCUAGCUUGUCCUUCAGGACUCGGCAGAGACCCUGCCUCCUCUCUGCGGCCUUCCCUCGUCAGCAUUCCCACCUCACCCCACGCUGACCACCCAUCGUCCUCUGCUUCCAUUAGCUGUGCUUUGCUCUGUCUCUCCCUUGAGACCCCAGGCUUCAGGAGCUUCAGACGUGCCCUCUAUGCAACACCAGAAGACUCUCACCAUAUCUGGCUUGAAA